GGAACAAACUGCUGGAGCCAACAUGU
rnacentral:piRNA from 1 species